rnacentral:rRNA from 1 species
GACGAACGCUGGUGGCGUGCCUAACACAUGCAAGUCGAGCGAAUGAAGUUCCUUCGGGAAUGGAUUUAGCGGCGGACGGGUGAGUAACACGUGGGCAACCUGCCUCAUAGAGGGGAAUAGCCUCCCGAAAGGGAGAUUAAUACCGCAUAAGAUUGUAGUACCGCAUGAUACAGCAAUUAAAGGAGCAAUCCGCUAUGAGAUGGGCCCGCGGCGCAUUAGCUAGUUGGUGAGGUAAUGGCUCACCAAGGCGACGAUGCGUAGCCGACCUGAGAGGGUGAUCGGCCACAUUGGGACUGAGACACGGCCCAGACUCCUACGGGAGGCAGCAGUGGGGAAUAUUGCACAAUGGGGGAAACCCUGAUGCAGCAACGCCGCGUGAGUGAUGACGGCCUUCGGGUUGUAAAGCUCUGUCUUCAGGGACGAUAAUGACGGUACCUGAGGAGGAAGCCACGGCUAACUACGUG